UCUUGGCCUCUCUGUGCUAUGAUCCAUGGGGGACCUGAUCAUCCAUAGAGCUAAUUUCUGAAACUAAAAAUUAUCCUUUCUUAUGUUUCUGUGUUGUCAAAUAAAAGCUAAUAUACAUGUGAUGUCCAGUUUCUUCUUUCGGUUCAGUUCAUUAUCUAAAAUCCUUUCAAUUUAAUUCUUAUGCGUCGUCCCGGCAACGCAUUGCGUAGCCACCGACCUCCUCUGGUUGGGCCACACCACCACGGGCUGGUCCACAAUGGUUGCUGGCAGCCGUCCAAGUUGAGAGCUGAUGGUAGUCCUCUACAUGCGUCAACGAAAAAUAGAGCCUUUUCUCUUCUCAAUACACAGCACAGAAGGUAUUUGUCUCCAACUUGCAUUAAGAGUUCAAAGUACACAGAGGAAAAAGGUUCAAUUUUCAAAACUUUAAGAGUUCAAAGUACACAAGAACAUAAGUCCACUAUGCUUUGUGUCAGCUAUCUGAUAUUUGUGAGGGGAACUUCAAUUUUCUUUAGUUCAACUUUUGAAUGUGUUCCAGUUCGUCUACUUCCUAGUCGUCCUGUGUCAAUCAAAAAAAGCAGUAGUUUAGCACGAAAAAUAGAGAUUUUUCUCUUCUCAGUACACAUCACAAAAGGUAUUUGUCUCCAACUUGCAUUAAGAGUUCAAAGUACACAGAGGAAAAAGGUUCAAUUUUCAAAACCUUAAGAGUUCAAAGUACACAAGAACAUAAGUCCACUAUGCUUUGCGUCAGAUAUCUGAUAUUUGUGAGGGGAACUUCAAUUUUCUUCAGUUCAACUUUUGAAUGUGUUUCAGUUCGUCUACUUCCUAGUCGUCCUGUGUUAGCUAGAUCAGUACUAGUGCUCAGCAGUACGACAAGUAGCAGUACUGAUCAGUACGACCUACACAAAUACUAUUACUGAUCAGUAAUAUUCUUAAUGUUAAAAGUAACAUCCAUAUAGAAAAAAUGCUUCUAUUCUAACACACAAUGUUUUGCAAAAAAGAGCACUAGUACUGAUGAGUCGUACCGACAAGGAUGCCUUCUACAAUUCUGAAAUUAUUGUUGAGUCGUACUAGUACUAUUACUGUUGAAAAUGGGAAGCAAGUGUCACAUGAAUCCUCAAUUGAAUGGGAAGCAAGUUGAUCCUCGCUCCUUCAACUCCACUUCGCCAGUGCCCGUCAGUCUGCAGGAGUAGGGGCGGCGUGUCCGUCAACAAACAAGAACAGAAGGGAGCAAUUGGCGCCGAAUGGGCCCCUGGGAGCUAGUCCAACCCGCUCGCAGACUGGAGGGCAUGCCGGUUUAUUUCCAAUGAAGCCCUAUGUACAAUCAGUCUGUUCGUUUGAUAAGAAAGGAGACAACAUAGAAGUUAUGGUUGAAGCAAGUCCCUCCGUCCAGUUAUGUCCGAUUUUUGUGAUAGUAGUUCAAAAUGAGGGAUAUAUUGUAUAAACUUUUUUGGACUUGUGCCCAGGCUGCUUCUGAACAACUCCAAUGCUUUAUUGGCCUCAGUACUACAGUUUGUUAACUUUUAACUGAGAACUCUAUGAACUCUUGGACAUGUUCA